UAUAAUUAAAAAUAUUAGAUUUAAAUAGUGAUAAGAGAAAUUAGAAAUUGAAGGCAGAUGGAUGUAUUGAUUUGGGUGUUUUGAAUCAUUCCAUAGGACACAAGGCUCAGUCCUCCUCUUUUCGGCAACAUUGGUCAUUGGAAUGUUUAAACAGAACGCAACUAUAUGAAUCAAAAUCCAUCAUAAUAAGAAGGAAAAGAAAAGGUAAAGUCCAUGGCCAACACUCUCUUCGCUGCCAUUGACAUGGGCACCAAUGCCUUCAAGCUUCUCAUAGUUCAAGCUCAUCUCCCAGGCAAAUUUAUCCCUCUUUUAACCGUCAGAGAGCAUGUCGUUUUAGGCCGCGAUUCACCUUCUUCCACCAUCUCCACCCAUUCCCAAAACCUCUCUGUCAAAUCUCUUCAGAAUUUCAAUAAGCUUAUUCAAACCCAUAAUGUUCCCCUACUCCACACUCGCUGCGUCGCCACAUCUGCUGUCCGCGAAGCCCAAAACAAGGCCAAAUUCAUUCACUCAAUCGCUGAAACUACCGGGUUCAAAGUUGAUGUUUUAUCAGGCGAAGAGGAAGCCCGAUUCUCUUAUCUUGGCGCUCUCCAAUUUUUUCCGGUUUUUGAGAAUUUGGUUUUGAACAUCGAUAUCGGAGGUGGGUCAACUGAGUUUGCUAUUGGGUUGCGUGGAAAGAUCGAAUUUUGUUUGUCUUUAAAGCUUGGCCACGUUACUUUGACUCAACAGAAUUUCGGGGAUGAAGAAGCUGAAAGAGCUUCGAAUAUGAGGGAGUAUAUUAGGAAUGUCAUUAAGGAAUCUGGGUUAAUUGACAAGGUUAAAAACAUUGGGUUUGAAAUAGCGUUGGGGUCAUCAGGGACGAUAAGAGCCAUUGAGAAAGCAGUUUUCAAAGGAUAUGCAUUAGAUUUUGCUGAUAACGAAGCUUUGCUUAGUGAAUGUAAAAGGGAUUGGAAGUUUAGUAUAGAGGAAUUAAAGAGUGUUGUUGAGAGGUUAUGUAAGGGAGGAGAAGGACAAAAAGUAAGGAGAGAUGGGUUUUUUAAGAGAAGAUCAGAGUCCAUUGUUGCUGGUGGGAUUUUGUUGGAUGAGAUAUUUGAUUUGCUUGGGAUUAAAGAAAUGUUGGUUUCUGGUUACGGAUUGAGAGAAGGUUUGAUAGCUGAUAGUUUAGCUAAGGUCUUUGAUGAUGGUUAUGAUUUGAAUGCCAACGCUCGGUUUCGGUCCAUUUUACGGCUUGCUACAAGGUUUAAUAGCAAAAGGAUAACCACUUCUGCUGCUGAAAUUGCUAGCAUUGCAAGGGAGAUUUUUGAAGGCUUAAGAAAAUACAAGGAGCUUGAUAACGAUGGAAUUUACCUUACUGUUGAUUUAGAUGAAAAAGAUCUGGAAAAUCUUGAGGCUGCAUGUUUACUUCACAAUAUAGGGCUCUCCACUGGGAAAAAGGGUUACCAUAAGAAGUCAUAUCACAUUAUCAUGAAUGGAAAUCAUCUCCGUGGUUAUAGUGCUGAGGAGGUCAAGUUAAUAGCUCUUCUUACAAGACACCAUAGGAAGAAAUUACCCAAGUUUAAUGAUGCUUCUUUUAAUGAGUUAAAAGAGGCAAAGCAGAAAUUCAAUGUUCUUUGUGCAAUUAUACGUUUAUCUUUUGUGUUACAUCGGAAUGGAUACAUAAACUACAGAGAAAUGGAUUUCUCACAUUCUCAUGAAGGUUUCAAGCUGGUUAUUGGGGAAGAAAGGGGUCCGAAUCAUCAGCCAGUUGUCGAGCAAUGUGUGACUGAUAAAUUUGCAGUAGAACUAACACAUGAAUUAGAUUAUUUUAAAAAGGUGUUGAAGCAAGAAUUAUCUGUUGAACUUAAAGCACCGCCAUUCUGUUCAAACGAAUAAUCAAAUGGAAGUUACUAAUUAAAGAGCUGCUGUUGGUUCAUGAUUGAGACCGAGUCCUAAAGCAGUUCAAAUCGGACUCUCUGAAAUGAAGAAUACACUUGCUAUGUUCUGAGAGUUCUCUGGCGAAUGGUGUGACCAACGGAGUGCUUAAGAACACAUAAAGCCUGGUGAAUGCAAAUGGUUCAGCAGUUAAUGCUCGUCUUUGUCUACUAGUUUGAAGAAAACCUGAGGAUGACGUCCGACAUCGAAACUAGCUUGGUCUCUGCUAUUGCUCUUAACAGUAAAGUAUCCCAUAAUGCGGACUUCAAGGAAUUAACUUGAACUGCUUCAGAACGAAAGUCUGUCUCUUUUGGUGCAGUAAGCUAGGAAAAUCUUGCUUAAUAUUCACCAUAUUAUAUAUUUUAGAGAUACACUAAUUUCUUUAUUUAAUAUAAUAAUGAUGAUGACUUUUUCAUCAGAAAGCUAAACUUAUCAUCCCAUACAUGAAUAUAUUCAUGUAUAUGUAUAUUACAUUAUUCAAAUAUUUUAUUUUUUUAACUGGACAUCAAUUUAGUUGGGUAUGACUAAAAUAGCAUUGUUUUUUUUUUUUUGGGUACAAAAAACAUUUUUUUUUUGGUACAAAAAACAAUCAUGUCUAGAGAGAACAUCCAUUAAACAGAAAAGAAAUUUUCCGUCUUGCUGCAGCAGAUGCCCACUUCCAAGUCUCAACCUAUUAUUAUCCCAGAGCUCCUAAAGGAUCAAAACUUUCAGUUUUCUAAUAGCCUCAACCCAAGGCCGAGACAUCCAAUGCCUUUUUGCAAUAGUUUCAGAAGUUUGCAGGAAGGCAGUCACUUUUUUGCUUCAAAACUACAUUAGAGCUGAGGAGAGUAUACGAUACCAUGCCCUUCCCUUUUAUCCAGGCAAUGUAAGCAGUUGGAAUAGCUUGCUGCAAAUGCACUAGAGAAGAUUGCACAGGUGUUUUGAGUCUUCUGGGGUCGUGUGACAGCAUGCUUUGAGAAGGCCUUUAGCCAUUGUUGUGUUAGACCAUUUGAUAAAUGAAAUGCUCGCAAUGGUGAGACAUCUGCACAUUCAAAGACCUUGUCCCUGUAUAUCCAAGUACUCCAGAGUGGCAAUAAGAUUAAUUCGGAGAUGAUCCUGCAGACUCUUGUACUAAAAGAUCUGCAAAAGCAAAUCAUACAUGUUUGUAGCAGCGUUUCAAUAAUUGAGCCUGACUCUGAAUUUUUUUUUUGGAUAAGUAAAAUUUCAUUCAUCCAAAGAAAGUAAAA